UACGGAGGAUGCAAGCGUUAUCCGGAAUGAUUGGGCGUAAAGCGUCCGCAGGUGGCCAUGUAAGUCUGCUGUCAAAGCGUCUGGCUCAACCAGAUAAAGGCAGUGGAAACUACAUAGCUAGAGUAAGGUAGGGGUAGAGGGAAUUCCUGGUGUAGCGGUGAAAUGCGCAGAUAUCAGGAGGAACACCGGUGGCGAAAGCGCUCUGCUGGACCUUAACUGACACUGAGGGACGAAAGCUAGGGGAGCGAAUGGG
rnacentral:rRNA from 1 species